AGGUUGCUCAAUGGUUAGAGUGUGAAACCUCAAGUUUCAAGGCCCUAGGUUCAAAUCUGGCCU
rnacentral:tRNA from 1 species